UAACAAGUUUACGGAAAGACGUACCACCGUAGGAUUAUGUAAAAGGAAAAAACAUGGAAAGAGUCGAGCCGGUAAGUAAAGAUAAUAAGCAAGCCACAAAAGCCGAGAGUAGGCUUCACGCGCUCAUCCCGGCGACCUGUCCCCUACACUCGCGGCUCAUGCGGCCGGCGCUCGUCUCCAACGACACUCCACCGACGCGACCCCCUAUAGGUUUGCCCUAGACCUUUCUUCUCAGCCCCAAACACACAAAAUAUCCAGAAUCAACCAACCAACCCAACCCCCCCCGAAACGACGAUCCCCAACCUGACUCUCCUUCUCAAAACGACAAUCCCCACCACCACCACCAUCAUCGAUGGGCGACAUCACGGAAUCCCUAACACCGCCCUCCACCACUCCCGCCUCCUCUCACUCCCGCCCCAUGCCGGUCCGUGAGGACUGCUGGAGCGAGGAGGCCACAUCCACCCUCAUCGACGCCUGGGGCCGCCGCUAUCUCGAGCUCAACAGAGGUAAUCUUCGGCAGAAAGAUUGGCAGGAUGUGGCCGACGCCGUCAACGCCCUCCAUGGCCAUACCAAGAAGACCCACCGCACCGAUGUCCAGUGUAAGAACCGAAUCGAUACCAUUAAAAAGAAGUAUAAGGUUGAGAAGGCUAGGGUUUCUUCUUCCAAUGGGGCCUUAUCUUCAUCUUGGACCUUCUUCGAUCGUCUGGAGGCUUUAAUUGGUUCCAAUCAGAAAAAGCCCUCUCCUUCUCUCUCACCGUCACCGCCGGUCGCGGUUCCUCUUCAUUCUUCUUCUUCGUAUCGGAAGAAUUCGUCCUCGGCAACCGUGGCUAGUUCUGCUUUGGUGGCUUUACCACAGAAGCGACCGGCCCCUGCCCCUGCCCCGGACGAGGGAUUCUUCAGGAGGAAUUACUCCGCGAUGGCUGCUGCAGCUGCCGCGGCCGAGGCGGAGGAGGAUGAAGAUGAUUUGGAGAAUGAAGAGGAGGUGGAUGAGGAGGAGGAGGAGGAGGAGGUCGAGAAAGAGAGAUAUAGUGAUGACGAGAGUGUAGAUGGAGAAGGGAUUCGGAGUUUAGCUACUGCGAUUGCGAGGUUUGGUGAAGUGUACGAGAAAGUUGAAGCAGAGAAGCUGAGGCAGAUGAUAGAGUUGGAGAAGAAGAGGAUGCAAUUUGCAAAGGACUUGGAGGUUCGGAGGAUGCGGAUGUUCAUGGACACGCAGUUACAGCUAGAGAGGAUCAAGCGUGGAAAACGAUCAGGGUCCAAUGACUUAAUGUACUAGGGAAAGUAGUUGUGCAUGGAUUGGACUCCUUUUGAUUGCACAUGCUAGAAUUUGUGAAGAAGGCAAAGUCCACAACGUCCACAAUUCUCUUUUGAAGUAGAAGUAGUUAUAUUUUUAUCAAUAUUUGGCUUUUAUCUAAGAACUUUGGCACCGGAACGGUGCAUGAGAGCUGUGUCGGUUUAACAUCGAAUGACUUGACCUUAGUGCUGGAAUUUGAUAUUUAUGGGUAGCCAAGCCAUGAGAAGAGAAAGCACACGUAGCAUCCGUUUGAUCAUUGCUACAAAGUACAUAUUGUUGCAGCUGAUAUUGGAUUGAGAAGAUUACCAUCGGUCGGAGUCAUAUGGAUUAUUUAUUAGAUUCUUUUUGUAUGCUCUUGUUCUUGUUCCUGUUCAUCUUUUGGUUUGUUUCUUCUUCUAACAGAUCCCUAAUAUUUUAUAUCAACUUAUAAGGCCUUAGCUUGAGCCGAAUUAUUUCAUUUUAGUUGUAACACCCUUUCUUUCUUUCUUUCUUUCUUUCUGUUUGAGGGAAACCCUCCCCUAAUCUAUUCUGAGGAUUAGAUUUGGUCGGAUGUAGAGAAAACUAGCUGUGAUUUUUUUUGUUUUUUCUCUUUCUGAUAAGAUAUGUUUUAUCCAAACAACUAUAUUACUUACCGAUUA